GUCCGUGUAGCGCAGUGGUUAGCGCGUCGCUCUUAUACACCCAGCCAAAUAGGGUUGUGUUGAGUAUGAUACUUCAUGCGAAGGUCGCAAGUUCGAUCCUUGCCUCGGACA